UUAUGAAAUAGUACCUACACCCUGACAGCAGGGCAUCCAUGCACACAUUUGGUCAUUUUGUUGGUCAUCUCCACCAAGACAAAAGCAAGACUCAUCAUCACUGAAGAUGACCUGCUGUCAUUCUGCCUUUAUCUUAAUGGAUACAGCCAACGAAUCUGUGAAGUGAAGGAAGCCAUUCAUCUUUUCCCAUUUUCAUACUAAUUUUUAGUCUAAUAUUCUCAUGUGGGGCUCAUCUGGGUGGAACAUGGGCUAGGUGGGUUCCAGAUAGCUUCGGCUCUUUCUGGGUUUUUAUAUGUGCUGUUACCGGGACCGUGUUGGGCUUUUUAAAUGGAUAACAUCAUUGCAGACACUUAAUCUCACAUGGAUCCCAUCUAAGAUUCAGGUGUAGUGUAAAACCCAGAUGCGUCCUGAUCCCAUUACUAACAUUCAUAUGUGUAGCCAACACUAGUUAGCAGUUCCCAGUUGAACUACCUAAUGUAGGAUUGAGAAACUGUUUUCUGGAACUCUUCAGACAUCACUAAACACUUUGGAAUCUGAACAUUUGUCUAGAACUAAGCCAAAUUCUAAGAAAGCAAAAUGCUGUACCAGUGGAAGGUCACCUCCUGCUGCUGUUACCGUGAUCCACCACCAAAGAGACUGAACGCUAGAAGACAGGAAAAAUCCAAAAUAGGACACGCAAUGAAGACAAAACAUCGACCAAGAAACAAAUCCAUUCCCAUUUCACGACAGCGCAGCGACCCCCUGCCCCGGCAUCACGCUACUUCAUGCAGAAAUGGCAAAAGCGAAAACAACAGCUGUGCACUCUGUCUCUGACAGCCCUGGGCUCGAGUUCCUUUCAGAAAAGCAUAUUAGUAUUAAUAAAGUUCAACUGAGUGUUCAUUCCA